rnacentral:rRNA from 1 species
UCAAUAAGCGGAGGAAAAGAAACCAACCGGGAUUGCCCUAGUAACGGCGAGUGAAGCGGCAAGAGCUCAAAUUUGAAAGCUGGCCCCCUCGGGGUCCGCAUUGUAAUUUGCAGAGGAUGCUUCGGGAGCGGUCCCCAUCUAAGUGCCCUGGAACGGGCCGUCAUAGAGGGUGAGAAUCCCGUAUGGGAUGGGGUGUCCGCGCCCGUGUGAAGCUCCUUCGACGAGUCGAGUUGUUUGGGAAUGCAGCUCUAAUUGGGUGGUAAAUUUCAUCUAAAGCUAAAUAUUGGCCGGAGACCGAUAGCGCACAAGUAGAGUGAUCGAAAGAUGAAAAGCACUUUGAAAAGAGAGUUAAACAGCACGUGAAAUUGUUGAAAGGGAAGCGCUUGCGAUCAGACUCGCUCGCGGGGUUCAGCCGGCCUUCGGGCCGGUGUACUUCCCCGCGGGCGGGCCAGCGUCGGUUUGGGCGGCCGGUCAAAGGCCCCUGGAAUGUAACGCCUCUCGGGGCGUCUUAUAGCCAGGGGUGCCAUGCGGCCUGCCCGGACCGAGGAACGCGCUUCGGCUCGGACGCUGGCAUAAUGGUCGUAAGCGACCCGUCUUGAAACACGGACCAAGGAGUCUAACAUCUACGCGAGUGUUCGGGUGUCAAACCCGUGCGCGCAGUGAAAGCGAACGGAGGUGGGAACCCCUCGGGGUGCACCAUCGACCGAUCCUGAUGUCUUCGGAUGGAUUUGAGUAAGAGCGUAGCUGUUGGGACCCGAAAGAUGGUGAACUAUGCCUGAAUAGGGCGAAGCCAGAGGAAACUCUGGUGGAGGCUCGCAGCGGUUCUGACGUGCAAAUCGAUCGUCAAAUUUGGGUAUAGGGGCGAAAGACUAAUCGAACCAUCUAGUA